UUUACAGACAUGAAGUGAGCUCCUUCAGUGCUUUAUCUGAGUCUAUAUUUUUAAAAUGCUUUAUAUUAAGAAAAUCACUGCCAUUGUGGAAAACAUUUCAUUGGUAGGUUAUGGUAGAUUAACAUAAUUUAGGGCCGGGGAUUUAGCUCAGUGUUUCCACCGCCUGCCUCGCAAGCGCAAGGACCCAAGUUCGAUCCCUGGUACCAAAAAAACCCCAAACAAACAAACAUAAUUUAUAGCACUGAUCUUAAUGACAAAAUUUAGAACAAUCAUUUAGAAUAAUCAUGCUUUUUAUUCUUCCACGUAAGAAACUGUAGAAUGACUUGAGACAGUGAUGGAAAAAAUUGAAUAACUACUAAUAAAUAUAUUACUGGAUAUAAGUUUUGUAGUUCUAGAUGAAUUGAACAAAAAACAUUAAAUUUCUGAGACUCCAUCCUUCCAGAGAACUAUGGAUUGUGAGGAAUUAAACGCAGCUACUCACCCGUUAGUAAGUGGUCAAAAUUUCUAAGGUUCAGGCAUUGAAAAAAAAAAAUCAAACAUAGUCCUUCUUCUUGAUGCACAAAAUAGUUCCAUUAAGCUAAGGGUACUCCAGUCUCUUGACAGCGUGCACCUGACACCCUCAAUGGGACUAUCAUCUCACUUAAAAAUUUUCUAAUAUUUGAUUCUUAGUUUUAGUAUUGAUUCAAAUUGCCUUUACAUUUAUGUAUAUAUGCACAGAAUAUUAAGUUUAAUGUGUGAAUAAUGUGUUAAUUAUUUUUCUCCCUUAUCAUUAAAUAUUGGUUGGUAUUUAUUUAUUUCCUUAUUUAUUUAUUUAAUUUUUUUGGUACUGGAGAUCGAACUCGGGACCUUGCGCUUGAGAGGCAGGCGCCAGAAGUUAAGUGCUGCCUGGUAGAAUUUUCUUCAGUGAUGAAAAUGUCCUGCACACCUGCAGUGCGAACCAGUAGUCACUGGCUGCAAGUGAGGCUGAAUUUUGUUUCGAGUUUCUGAACCUCAUGUGUCUAGUGAGUACCACAUUCCACAGAGCAG
rnacentral:lncRNA from 1 species